rnacentral:rRNA from 1 species
UCCAGACUCCUACGGGAGGCAGCAGUGGGGAAUAUUGCACAAUGGGGGGAACCCUGAUGCAGCGACGCCGCGUGAAGGAAGAAGUAUCUCGGUAUGUAAACUUCUAUCAGCAGGGAAGAAAGAGGACGGUACCUGACUAAGAAGCCCCGGCUAACUACGUGCCAGCAGCCGCGGUAAUACGUAGGUGGCAAGCGUUAUCCGGAUUUACUGGGUGUAAAGGGCAUGUAGGCGGGAAAGCAAGUCAGAUGUGAAAACCACGGGCUCAACCUGUGGCCUGCAUUUGAAACUGUGUUUCUUGAGUACUGGAGAGGCAGACGGAAUUCCUAGUGUAGCGGUGAAAUGCGUAGAUAUUAGGAGGAACACCAGUGGCGAAGGCGGCUUGCUGGGCCGUAACUGACGUUGAGGCUCGAAAGCGUGGGGAGCAAACAGGAUUAGAUACCCCAGUAC